rnacentral:rRNA from 1 species
UACAGAGGUCUCAAGCGUUGUUCGGAAUCACUGGGCGUAAAGGGUGCGUAGGCGGUUGUUUAAGUCUGUCGUGAAAUCCCCGGGCUCAACCUGGGAAUGGCGAUGGAUACUGGGCAGCUAGAGUGUGUCAGAGGAUGGUGGAAUUCCCGGUGUAGCGGUGAAAUGCGUAGAGAUCGGGAGGAAGGCCGGUGGCGAAGGCGGCGCUCUGGAACGUUUCUGACACUGAGGCUCGAAAGCGUGGGGAGCAAACAGG